rnacentral:rRNA from 1 species
AAAUUGAAGAGUUUGAUCAUGGCUCAGAUUGAACGCUGGCGGCAGGCCUAACACAUGCAAGUCGAACGGUAACAGGAAGCAUUGCUG